GGUAUAUAGCUCAGUUGGUAGAGUGCUUGCCUCGCAUGUACAAGGAGGCCCCAGAGUUCAAUCCUCAGCACCA
rnacentral:tRNA from 1 species